rnacentral:rRNA from 1 species
AUUGAACGCUGGCGGCAUGCCUUACACAUGCAAGUCGAACGGUAACGCGGGGGCAACCCUGGCGACGAGUGGCGAACGGGUGAGUAAUACAUCGGAACAUAUCCAGUAGCGGGGGAUAACCUAUCGAAAGAUUGGCUAAUACCGCAUACGAUCUACGGAUGAAAGCGGGGGACCGCAAGGCCUCGCACUAUUGGAGUGGCCGAUGUCAGAUUAGCUAGUUGGUGGGGUAAAAGCCUACCAAGGCGACGAUCUGUAGCUGGUCUGAGAGGACGAUCAGCCACACUGGAACUGAGACACGGUCCAGACUCCUACGGGAGGCAGCAGUGGGGAAUUUUGGACAAUGGGCGCAAGCCUGAUCCAGCCAUGCCGCGUGAGUGAAGAAGGCCUGGUUGUAAGCUCUUCGGUGAAGACGAAACGGUUAAGCGCUAAUAACGACUGACUAAUGACGGUACUCACAGAAGAAGACACCGGCUAACUACGUAGCCAGCAGCCGC